CAGUCGCCGCGGUAAUACAGAGGGUGCGAGCGUUAAUCGGAUUUACUGGGCGUAAAGCGUGCGUAGGCGGCUUCUUAAGUCGGAUGUGAAAUCCCUGAGCUUAACUUAGGAAUUGCAUUCGAUACUUGGAAGCUAGAGUAUGGGAGAGGAUGGUAGAAUUCCAGGUGUAGCGGUGAAAUGCGUAGAGAUCUGGAGGAAUACCGAUGGCGAAGGCAGCCAUCUGGCCUAAUACUGACGCUGAGGUACGAAAGCAUGGGGAGCAAACAGGAUUAGAUACCCCCGUAGUCCCUGUCUCUUAUAC
rnacentral:rRNA from 1 species